GACGGACGUUGGCGGCGUGCUUAAUACAUGCAGGUCCACUGAAGCAGUGGUAGCAAUAUCGCUGUGGAGGUGGCGCACGGGUGAGUAACACGUAGGUAAUCUGCCUUCAGGUCUGGCAUAACUCCGGGAAACCGGGGCUAAUAGCAGAUGAUGCAGCGGCUCGACAUCGAGACAGUUGUUAAAGCUAUGGCGCCUGAAGAUGAGCCUGCGCCUGAUUAGCUAGUUGGCGGGGUAACGGCCCACCAAGGCAACGAUCAGUAGCUGGUCUGAGAGGAUGAUCAGCCACACUGGAACUGAGACACGGUCCAGACUCCUACGGGAGGCAGCAGUAAGGAAUAUUGCUCAAUGGGAGAAAUCCUGAAGCAGCAACGCCGCGUGAGGGACGAAGGGCUUUUGCUUGUAAACCUCUGUAGUGAGAGAAAAAAAUCCCAAUCUUUGGGACAUGAUGGUAUCUCAAAAGUAAGCCCCGGCUAACUACGUG
rnacentral:rRNA from 1 species